UUGAAUUUUAUGAACAUCAGGUACAACACCUGAUCUUUUGAGAAGUUGACAUAUACCUGGACUGGACAAAGGGGGCAGAACACUAUCCCAUUUUUCAUUUGGUAGAAAGAAAUGCAAGAUAUUUUGAAGGCAUAUUCAAAACUCACAGCAAUCAUGUAUAACUAUGUAAUUAUGUUUUAUUUUUUGUGCAGAAUGGAGUUGUAGAAGAGGCAGAAUCUAUUUCAGAUUUCACAGAGUUCCUUCAAGUUAUACACUUAGUGUGUUUUUUUUUCUGUUUUGUGAACAAUAAUUAUUAACUUUCGAGAAAAAAAAAAUUAGAGAAGGAAUAACUUACUGAUCGAUCUUCCACAUUUGCCAAUUUGCCCUGCAAACAAAAUUAAGAAUUAAGUGUUUCAGAAGACAAAAGUUUCUGCAAAAUAAUUAGCCCAGCUGGAAAGACAGUCACAUCAUUUUAUGCACAUGUAGUAGAUACAGUAUUUUUUAUUUUCACGUUAUUUUUUAUCAUUUAAAACAAAAUCCAUCCAAUGUCAAGCUACACACCAGAACAAGGUGGGAAGCCCACCGAAGACUAUCCCGUUAUAGAAAGCUUG
rnacentral:lncRNA from 1 species